rnacentral:lncRNA from 1 species
CUUCUCCUCCUCCCCUUGGCCGCCGCCCCCCUGCCCAUCACCUCCUCUCUCAAUUUUUGCAGCCACCAAACCCUAGCCCCCCCCCAAUCCCCUCCUCCCAAGGUGCCAAUCCUUGCCGCUCGGAUCGUCGUCUCGUGGUGCGAUUCUCCAACCGUUUUGGUGGAGGGAGGAAGGGAGGAAGGAAAGGGGGAGAACCCAAGGUGAUUUUUGUGUUCAUCUCUUGUUCAUUUGUGCUGCAAUUCAAUUGAUUAGAUGUUGCGUUUGCGAUUAGAUAGAGGGGGGCCGUCCAGAAUUUUACGUGGUGGAUGAACAGCGGAAGUUCUAGCAGUUUUUAGGGUUUUUUCGUGAAGGAUUAAUGGGGAUCAAUUUGGGGAUCUUGUAGAACUUUGUUUUACCUUUCCAAUGGGUAUUUAUGCGCUCAAUUUGGAGUUAUAAAUUAAAAGUUAUCAUCGUUUGAAUCCGGGUGUGUGGCUGUCCAAAAAACAGAUUUUUCAGAGUGUUGAACAGCAGCAGUAUUAGCAGUUUCUGGGGAUUUUUCGGGAGUAAUUAGUGUUAAUCAGUAUGAGAAUCAUGUAGGGCUUUUUCUUAUCUUUCCAACAAGUACUUAUGCGCUCAAAUCGGAAUUAUAUUUUAAAAGUUAUCGCUGUUUGAAUCCGAGUAUGUCGCUGCCCAAAUCAGAAAAAAACAGAUUGCAGGGUUUAUUUUGUGGACCGUUUAGAGGUAAUUAGAUGUUAGAAUUUAAUCAUGAGUCGUAUACAAAACUUGUGGGAAAUUUUAGGUAGUUGUCUCUGAAGUUUUUGUUUGACACCACUGCUGUCCUAAUUUUUAAGUUAUGGAAUUGUUAAGCAGUGCCGCUGCAGUUUGGUUAGUGAGGGGAGAAUUGUUACCGCGGCGGGGUUGAGAUUGCGCGUAGGUGCGGUGUUGUCUUUGAGUUUUUUUAUGUGAAUUUGGUGCACUAAGUUGGGUGUCAAAAACAGGUGGUGGACUUCCGGAUCGUUCUUAGGGAUUUUGCCCAAACUUCGGUGAAGGCAAGUAAAACUGUGAUGGUUAUUCCGUCUGUCUGAUGAGGAGUCUUAUACUUGUUUAUGUUGUGCUAUCAUGUUCAAAUUCAUAUUUUAUUUUGAGUACCAUCAUUUGAAAAUGUUCAUGUUUCAUGGAUUUCGUAUGUUGAGUUUGAGGUUUGAUUAUGUUACUCAAGUGGUUAUUAUGUGGAAUGGUUGGAAGUAAAUGCCUAGCACAUUUUUAUUUGGGAAGAACUUAUGAUGUUGUCAUGCAUAAUGCACUCAUCAUCCAUUGCAUUGAAGUUUCGUCGCGAUAUUAUGGUCCGACCGUACCGGUACAUUGAGCAUCAUAUGUUGCCCGAGAAGGGGUAUGGUGCAGCUUCAUAUCCUUAGAGAUAUGGAGGCAGAAGUCAUUAUUGCAUUUGUAGCCAUGUGCAUUCAUGGGAGAGGUGUUGAAUCUAUUAUGUGGAUGUGGAUAAUUUGGACUUGUGCAUGGUGAUUCUACUUGGCGUUGAGCUUUUAGUUACUUGGUUACUUGCUGCAAUUUACUGUUCAAAAGAAAAGAAAGAAGUCCUGAACACGUGGUUGUGAAAGCAUAGUUGAUUUACAAUGUCCUAUUUAUUGUUGUUAUGUUUACUUGCUGAGAUGUGUUAUCUCACAUCUUGCAUUGUUUGAUGCAGGCACCUAAUUUCUGCUUUGGGAAUAGAGGGAUGUAGCAGCACGGCCACUACACCUUUAAUAAAGGAACCACCAUUUAAUAAUGUUGUUAAUCAGAGUUGGACAAGUCUAGUGAAUUGCUUUGUUCUUGGUUGAGCGUUUAUUUUGGGGUGGGCUGAGUUUCUUGUCCCAUUUGUUUUGCUUCAGUUGGGUCAUAAUUAAGUUUUACCACUUUUGCAUUUCAGUUUCUACUAUGUGAAUUAUAUGUCUUUAUAUCUUGUAUGAGCUUCAUGUUUCCCCUCCUUGUUAUGCUAGUUUUCAAAGGAGGUGUUGCCGGAUUUUGCU